GAAUAAGCGUUGAAAGAGACAAGUAGUUAUAUUGAUUUGGUAUAGAGAACUUGUGGUUGGUGAAAACAAGACAAUAAAUAUAAUGAAUACACUCUGGAGCAUCUAAGUGCAAAGCUUAGACGGUGGCAACAUCGUUAUCAAUUGAGAGAGUAUGCUGAUGCAUAAAUAAAGGUGGUACCGCGAGAAUUCGUCCUUUGG
rnacentral:ncRNA from 1 species